GUUCCAUGCAUCUCCAAGUUUCUCUUCAAGUAUUUGAGUUCUAUAUUCCCCUAAUAAGGUAUUAAAUUUAAUUUUUGUCAGACAUAGUUGAAGUAAUGUUUAACAAUAUUUGUUUAUUAACAUCAUUUUUACAAAGUUUACCAGCUUAAGUAAUGUCCUCAAAUUUCUUUAAAGGUACAAAGUGUAUCACUCCCAGACAUUGUAAGUAAAUGUCUAAGCCCUAGGACCCAAAGUUUACCAUCACUAACGGACACAGGAAAACCUUCAAAUUUUCCCCAAAACUUUGAGGUUUCGUCAUUCAAGAG
rnacentral:lncRNA from 1 species